rnacentral:rRNA from 1 species
GACGAACGCUGGCGGCGCGCCUAACACAUGCAAGUCGAACGGAGUUUAAAGAGCUUGCUUUUUAAACUUAGUGGCGGACGGGUGAGUAACACGUGAGUAACCUACCUUUCAAAGGGGGAUAACGUCUGGAAACGGACGCUAAUACCGCAUAAUACUAUUUGAGGGCAUCCUUGGAUAGUCAAAGGAGAAAUCCGAUGGGAGAUGGACUCGCGGCUGAUUAGAUAGUUGGCGGGGUAGAGGCCCACCAAGUCGACGAUCAGUAGCCGGACUGAGAGGUUGAACGGCCACAUUGGGACUGAGACACGGCCCAG